rnacentral:misc_RNA from 1 species
GAAAUGCGAUAAGUAAUGUGAAUUGCAGAAUUCAGUGAAUCAUCGAAUCUUUGAACGCACCUUGCGCUCCUUGGUAUUCCGAGGAGCAUGCCUGUUUGAGUGUCAUGGAAUUCUCAACUCUAUUUGCUUUUGUGAAUAGAGCUUGUAUUUGGAGGUUUAUUGCUGGUACUUGUGAUCGGCUCCUCUUGAAUGCAUUAGCUCGAACCUUUGCGGAUCAGCUAUCGGUGUGAUAAUUGUCUACGCCGUUGCAGUGAAGCAUAUCAAUGGGCUCGGCUUCCAAUCGUCCUUUACUGGACAAUGACUUUGACCUUUGACCUCAAAUCAGGUAGGAUUACCCGCUGAACUUAAGC